GAUGAACGCUGACAGAAUGCUUAACACAUGCAAGUCAUUGGCGAAGCUGCGCUUGCGCAGUCUAGCCAAGGCGGACGGGUGAGUAACGCGUAAGGAACUUGCCCUGCAGACAGGGAUAACAGACGGAAACGACUGAUAACACCUGGUAUUGUCAGGCUGGCGCAUGCCGGCCUGAUGAAAGGAGACGCUGCAGGAGAGCCUUGCGUCCUAUUAGCUAGUUGGUGGGGUAACGGCCCACCAAGGCGAUGAUAGGUAGCCGGCCUGAGAGGGUGAACGGCCACAAGGGGACUGAGAUACGGCCCUUACUCCUACGGGAGGCAGCAGUGGGGAAUAUUGGACAAUGGGGGCAACCCUGAUCCAGCAAUUCUGUGUGCACGAAGAAGGUUUUCGGAUUGUAAAGUGCUUUCAGCAGGGAAGAAGAAAGUGACGGUACCUGCAGAAGAAGCGACGGCUAAAUACGUGC
rnacentral:rRNA from 1 species